ensembl:lncRNA
GCAAUGGGUAACGAUGCUUCGAGGGUGACUGUUGUUGAUGUGUGCAGAGGGUCCCUGGUUCGCGCCCGGGUAUGGGUGAGGGAAGGGGACGGUCUAAAGUUAUACUGUUACACAUCCACAUGUGCAGUAGCUUCAGGACAUUUAGCUGUCAGGAAGAGGGGUCCGGAACAGUCGGAUCUGUAGCCUCUCCGUUGUUUAUAUAUUAGUGGUUUGAGAGAGAGGCCAUAAAAUGUUUUCAGACACAUUUGGAAGGCAUGUCUUGAUACAUAAUGGCAUCUUAAAGAUGUAUUUUUUUUUAAAGUAUCUAUGUCUUGAAGCGUCUCAAGAUUUCUCAACUUGUGAUGGCUGGGUACGUAGGUUUAUAAACGAUCAGAAACAUAUUUUCGCAGUCUUCACUUUGGGCUUCCAUAGUCCGUUUGUGAUGGCUGGGUACGUAGGUUUAUAAACGAUCAGAAACAUAUUUUCUCAGUCUUCACUUUGGGCUUCCAUAGUCCGUUUGUGAUGGCUGGGUACGUAGGUUUAUAAACGAUCAGAAACAUAUUUACGCAGUCUUCACUUUGGGCUUCCAUAGUCCGUUUGUGAUGGCUGGGUAUGUAGGUUUAUAAACGAUCAGAAACAUAUUUUCUCAGUCUUCACUUUGGGCUUCCAUAGUCCGUUUGUGAUGGCUGGGUACGUAGGUUUAUAAACGAUCAGAAACAUAUUUACGCAGUCUUCACUUUGGGCUUCCAUAGUCCGUUUGUGAUGGCUGGGUACGUAGGUUUAUAAACGAUCAGAAACAUAUUUUCGCAGUCUUCACUUUGGGCUUCCAUAGUCCGAUUGUGACAGGUGGCAAUAAAGGGCCCAACUACGGUGGGAUGAACGUAUCUUCUGUCGUUGGCUUUUAUCCUUUUAUGGAAAUAGGGAGAACGUGCAUUUUUUUAUGGCUUAUGAAAAGUUUUACAGACCCCUCAGAGCUUUUUACAGUAAUGUUUUCCUCAUUGAAAUAAGAACCCUGUUUAUACCUGGUGCUAUCAUGCGUUUCCUUUGUCCUGAACUUGUCCACAUUCUGAUUUGUGUCCACAUUUACACAGACGAGUAAACUAACUGAUUAGCAGCAACAUUUCCUGAGGCAGUUUGGGACGAAUUGAUUGGCUGGAUCCAAGCUUACUGACAGGCCAGUGGGCAGGGUUUACAGGUGAGCGUCAAAUAAGAAAAGGAGUGUCUGCGGAGCUGACUUUUACGGGAUCUUUAGUCCACCGGAUCCUGAUGCUUUACACUAUAUAUUCUCUGUUCUCUAUUACACAGGUGGCAAACGGGAGGGGCAACUGUCUGCGUGUUAUCACUCCUGCCUUGUACUUAAUUAAUAAAUAAAGGUCACUGAUUAGUAAGGAACUCCCUUCACCUGGUUGUCUAGGUCACUGAUUAGUAAGGAACUCCCUUCACCUGGUUGUCUAGGUCACUGAUUAUUAAGGAACUCCCAUCACCUGGUUGUCUAGGG